GCAAAUGAUCUAUGAGCAGAUAACCCGCAAGCCUACGAGCACAAAGAACAGUCAGGGGGCGCCAGAAGUUUUUUUGAUGAAAACCCUCUAACGCUCAAGUCAAAGAUUUGGGUCUACUUGGAAAAACCCAUACCACAAUUCACGUGGCUUAAUUAUGAUUGUUUUAAACAAAAAACUUUUAAGUAAAUUCAAAGGAAAAGAAUUGGAAAUAAUUAAUCUUAAAGAAAAAAUAAGCGAAAGAGAAAUUUUCCAAUGGUAGAGAGAGAAAAAGAUCCAAUGGGUUUAGUCACCCAC
rnacentral:lncRNA from 1 species